rnacentral:rRNA from 1 species
CCUACGGGGGGCUGUAGUGAGGAAUAUUGGUCAAUGGACGAGAGUCUGAACCAGCCAAGUAGCGUGAAGGAUGACUGCCCUAUGGGUUGUAAACUUCUUUUAUAUGGGAAUAAAACGUUCCACGUGUGGGAUUUUGUAUGUACCAUAUGAAUAAGGAUCGGCUAACUCCGUGCCAGCAGCCGCGGUAAUACGGAGGAUCCGAGCGUUAUCCGGAUUUAUUGGGUUUAAAGGGAGCGUAGGUGGAUUGUUAAGUCAGUUGUGAAAGUUUGCGGCUCAACCGUAAAAUUGCAGUUGAAACUGGCAGUCUUGAGUACAGUAGAGGUGGGCGGAAUUCGUGGUGUAGCGGUGAAAUGCUUAGAUAUCACGAAGAACUCCGAUUGCGAAGGCAGUUCACUGGACUGCAACAGACACUGAGGCUCGAAAGUGUGGGUAUCAAACAGGAUUAGAUACCCCGGUAGUC